CACACGCACACACAUACACAACAAAGAUUUCAAUCUCAGAACACUCACUACAAGCAGCCCAAGCUCGUUAACUGGGAUUAUUUUAUAAAAAUAUGUUUCUAAUCUUUAUUAUUAUUAUUACAUAGUGGAUUAUUUCCCUAAAACAGGUUGAAAAGGAUGACAUUAUUUCACAUCCACUAGAAAAAAGACAACUUUUCUUUGUACAUCCUCACACAAACCUGAAAUAUUACCAACUAAAAAGGUUUAGUACCUAAAUUUCAUAAUUCAUGCUUCAGCUUUAAGGACAUAAAGUUACAGCUUUGCUGACCAACAGCAAACAAUUAUUGUUAGUUUUAUUGUCUUUAUACACCACUCAACAUUACAUAACUCUU